CCCAGACAGCCAGGAUGUUGGCUUAGAAGCAGCCAUCAUUUAAAGAAAGCGUAAUAGCUCACUGGUCGAGUCGGCCUGCGCGGAAGAUGUAACGGGGCUAAACCAUGCACCGAAGCUGCGGCAGCGACACUCAGGUGUUGUUGGGUAGGGGAGCGUUCUGUAAGUCUGCGAAGGUGGCCUGUGAGGGUUGCUGGAGGUAUCAGAAGUGCGAAUGCUGACAUAAGUAACGAUAAAGCGGGUGAAAAGCCCGCUCGCCGGAAGACCAAGGGUUCCUGUCCAACGUUAAUCGGGGCAGGGUGAGUCGACCCCUAAGGC
rnacentral:rRNA from 1 species